rnacentral:rRNA from 1 species
UACGGGGGGGGCAAGCGUUGUUCGGAAUUACUGGGCGUAAAGGGCUCGUAGGCGGCCAACUAAGUCGGACGUGAAAUCCCUCGGCUUAACCGGGGAACUGCGUCCGAUACUGGAUGGCUUGAGUUUGGGAGAGGGAUGCGGAAUUCCAGGUGUAGCGGUGAAAUGCGUAGAUAUCUGGAGGAACACCGGUGGCGAAGGCGGCAUCCUGGACCAAUUCUGACGCUGAGGAGCGAAAGCCAGGGGAGCAAACGGG